rnacentral:rRNA from 1 species
AAGCGUAACAGCUCACUGGUCUAAAUUUAAGUCGUCCUGCGCCGAAGAUGUACCGGGGCUAAAGCCAUGCACCGAAGCUGCGGGCGUGCACUUUGUGCACGCGGUAGCGGAGCGUUCCGUAGGCCUGUGAAGGUGUGCCGUGAGGCAUGCUGGAGGUAUCGGAAGUGCGAAUGCUGACAUGAGUAACGAGAUGAGUGUGAGAAACACUCACGCCGAAAGUCCAAGGGUUCCUGCGCAACGCUAAUCGGCGCAGGGUGAGUCGGCCCCUAAGGCGAGGCAGAAAUGCGUAGUCGAUGGGAAGCUGGUUAAUAUUCCAGCACUUCUUACUAGUGCGAUGGGGGGACGGAGUAGGCUAGGCCAGCGCGGCGUUGGUUGUCCGCGUUUAAGGUAGUAGGUGGGUUGCUUAGGUAAAUCCGGGCGGCCGUUAACAUCGAGAGCUGAUGACGAGCCUGAGGCGAAAGCUGACGGUGAAGUGGUUGAUGCCAGACUUCCAGGAAAAGCCUCUAAGCUUCAGCUAGUAAGGAACCGUACUGUAAACCGACACAGGUGAUCAGGUAGAGAAUACCAAGGCGCUUGAGAGAACUCGGGUGAAGGAACUAGGCAAAAUGGUACCGUAACUUCGGGAGAAGGUACGCCGGCUUUGGUGAUGGGACUUGCUCCCUGAGCUGAGGCUGGUCGAAGUGACCAGGUGGCUGCGACUGUUUAUUAAAAACAUAGCACUCUGCAAACACGAAAGUGGACGUAUAGGGUGUGACGCCUGCCCGGUGCCGGAAGGUUAAUUGAUGGG